AUAUGUGAUUUUAUUUUUUCUAAUAAGUUCACGAUUUAAUAUCUGAUAAUAAACAUAUCGCACAAAAAGCAGAAAUUCUACGAACAAAGAUUUUUUUCAGGCACAUGCAUAUUUAUUUUCUCUACUAUAAAUAUAUGUAUGUAUGUACACAUACGAGUUACACGAGAUAUACGGGGCAGUAGUUAUGUAUUUACAGGCACGAGACAAGUGUUUCAAAAGAUAUCGAUCGAUAUAUAUAUCCUUUUUGAUUUUUAAUGGCCACGUAAUACGAUUUUGGCUAGGAAACUACGAUUUUAGUAACUCGUCCAUCGCACAGUUACGUCCAUGAUGUAACCUUAGGAAAAAUAAUUGCAACAGCUACAACGGGUGACGCAAGUAUUUCGGAUAUUUCAAGUAGACGCGUGCUCCAAUUUAUCUUGUAAAAAGGAUCGAAAGAAGGACGCUUAAUGUAACAAAGAUCAUUGUAGAAAGCGAAGAAAAUGAGGAUGCUCCGUUACAAGAAUCUUCGGAGCAAGAACAUUCUUGCCAAUAAAUUCCAUUCUCGUAGACCCCCCAAUUACAGACACCUGUAACUCCGGUACUGGAGACAGAUGCACACCUUCGUAUCACUUGCCGCCAUCUACCGUUCCCUUUAAGAAUGACAAAUGAGUAAACAUAAAGGCAAAACGUCGUAGACCAAUAAAAAUAAUAGAGAAAAAAGUAAAGUGAAUUUGGAAAAGAAGUUAAUAAAACAUCGAAAUUGAUCGAAGCACGUUUUAAGGAAUAUUAAUCAAAUCGAAAAAAAGAUCUAUCGACGAAAAGUGAACACGUAUGAACUCACAUAUGAAGCCACGAGGACUUUGCUGCGUCAACUUAACGCAAAACGUGCCAGGCGUAUGAGAUUCGUCGCUACUGCAUUCCACCGGAAUGUUCCUUUCUUUGUCGAAUUUUCCAUAAGCUCCACAAAGAUCUUCAUCUUUUUGAUCGGUAUCGCUGCUGCAUUGGUAACAUCGAAUAGCUUCGCAUCCUGAUCGCAAAAAAUAGUUUUCAAUACAGAACUCCUUUUAUUUUUGUUUCAUCGAAACGUUUUACGAUUCAACAGGUCAAAACCUUUUUUUAUCGAUUCCUAUAAAGUGUUCGUUACACUUUAGUUGCAUACGUACGUACUGUGCGUAUUUUUCUUUUCACAAAUUCUAUCCUAAUUAUUUAUUAAUCGAGUCGAUCGAAAGAUUAGAAUAUAUUUCUAAGCUCGUUCGAAAGUCUAACGCAUUAAUUAUCUAAUUCAUUCCAUAAUUAAACAAAUAGUAUAAUACGAAAUAUCGUUUUUAGAUCAGGAAAUUCGAAAGUAAAACACGUAGGGCGCUGCUGUUUCCCAAGAUGGUUAUGCCUCGGCAUUCACGAACGGCCAUUGUUCGUGAAUAGCGUCACGAUUCACUCACGAUAUUUGACUUCUGCGACGAUUUUAUUCUUACCUAUCGUCACGAAUAAUAACAGCGUACAAAUUGUGCUCACGAUCCUCUUAUCGAUCGCCAUUUUGACGCCUCGCGACAAAGGAUUUUUCGAUUUCCUUGAAGAACGCGGUCGGCACGCUGCGACGAUCGUGUAUACACUGUACGUACCUGACGUCAUUCAUUGGGUGUUGGUUGGUGUGAGGAAUGGCGAUGACUGUAAACUCCCCUCCCCACUACUUGCGACGUCUCGUAGUAGCGAGUACGUAUUCAGGCCCGUAGCUAGUAACAUCGAUGCCCUUGUCGAUAUAAACAAUCAUGUUUUCAUGAUUUGUUUUUAACGCAACAAAUGUAGGAAUAUUUUCGAUUGGAAAAAGAAAAAAAAAAGGAAAAGACCGAAGAGAUUUAAUUUUAUAAUGAAAAUGAUAUAUACGAAGUAAACGAUAUAUAAAGAAGACUUAAGAACUAUACUAUUGGAAUUUAUGAUAAAAGAAGAUUGUAUAAAAAAUGAAUAACGAUGAAAUAUCAAACGUGAAGAAGAUAGAUUAUCCCUGAUGUUCCAGUUGAAGAGACUAUUUCAGCAAUGGGAACGUAUUCGUCAAAGGGAAACUUUCCGAAUUAAGAUAAGAGAGACGAGGGAGAUUUGCGAGUACGUGUCUGAAAGCGAAGAGUUCGUGUUACCUUAAUAAUCAUCACGAGAGAUUUGGAGAACGGAAGUGAAGCGGUAAUAAGAGAGGACAAAAGGUACGACGUUAUUACCGGCGGCAGUGAGUCGUGACUGGUCCCAAAGGAUGUCUCCUUACAGGGCUAGACGGAACUGUAAUUGUGUCUUAUCUGUCUUGUGUUCGCCUUUCCGCAUUGGCUUUCAUCAAACGUCUCCAAAAUAAAAAUCUUAUCUCGUAAAUGGU